rnacentral:rRNA from 1 species
UACAGAGGUGGCGAGCGUUGUCCGAAUCACUGGGCGUAAAGAGCGUGUAGGCGGCCGCACAGGUCCGUUGUGAAAACUGGAGGCUUAACCUUCAGACGUCGAUGGAAACCGUGCGGCUAGAGUCCGGAAGAGGAGAAUGGAAUUCCUGGUGUAGCGGUGAAAUGCGCAGAUAUCAGGAAGAACACCCGUGGCUAAGGCGGUUCUCUAGUACGGUACUGACGCUGAGACGCGAAAGCGUGGGGAGCGAACAGG